GCUGUAGCUCAGUAGGUAGAGCAUCUGCCUUGCGUGUAGAAGACCCCAGGUUCAAUUCCCAGUGGCAUCU